rnacentral:rRNA from 1 species
UGGGGAAUCUUGCACAAUGGGGGCAACCCUGAUGCAGCGACGCCGCGUGAGCGAUGAAGCCCUUCGGGGCGUAAAGCUCUUUCGACCGGAACGAUAAUGACGGUACCGGGAGAAGAAGCUGCGGCUAACUACGUGCCAGCAGCCGCGGUAAUACGUAGGCAGCAAGCGUUGUUCGGAGUUACUGGGCGUAAAGAGUGCGUAGGCGGUUUUCUAAGUUCGGUGUGGAAUCUCCCGGCUUAACUGGGAGGGUGCGCCGAAGACUGGGAAGCUGGAGUGUGGGAAAGGCAGGCUGAAUUCCUGGUGUAGCGGUGAAAUGCGUAGAUAUCAGGAGUAACACCGGCGGUGUAGACGGCUUGCUAGACCAUAACUGACGCUGAGGCACGAAAGCGUGGGUAGCAAACA